rnacentral:rRNA from 1 species
UACGGGGGGGGCAAGCGUUGUUCGGAAUUACGGGGCGUAAAGGGCUCGUAGGUGGCCAACUAAGUCAUGCGUGAAAUCCCUCGGCUUAACCGGGGAACUGCGUCUGAUACUGGAUGGCUUGAGUUUGGGAGAGGGAUGCGGAAUUCCAGGUGUAGCGGUGAAAUGCGUAGAUAUCUGGAGGAACACCGGUGGCGAAGGCGGCAUCCUGGACCAACACUGACGCUGAGGAGCGAAAGCCAGGGGAGCAAACGGG